UACAGAGGGUGCGAGCGUUGUCCGGAAUUAUUGGGCGUAAAGAGCUCGUAGGCGGUGUGUCGCGUCGGCCGUGAAAACCUGCAGCUUAACUGUGGGCUUGCGGUCGAUACGGGCAUCACUGGAGUUCGGCAGGGGAGACUGGAAUUCCUGGUGUAGCGGUGAAAUGCGCAGAUAUCAGGAGGAACACCGGUGACGAAGGCGGGUCUCGUGGGCCGAUGACUGACGCUGAGGAGCGAAAGCGUGGGGAGCGAACAGG
rnacentral:rRNA from 1 species